rnacentral:tRNA from 1 species
UCCUAGGUGGCUCAGAGGUAAAGAAUCUGCCUGCCAAGCAGGAGACAUGGGUUCAAUCCCUGGGUUGGGAA